UGCAAAUUCGUGUUGGUUUCCAGGCAUUCAAUUUCAUUCUGUGCUCGCUGACACGAAGGGAAAUGUCUUAGUUAUUUUCAAAAUAAGCAUGUACUUGUAAACGGGGCCUAAGUUAAAUUAUCUUGUAUUAUUAUUUGUGUAAAGACCAAUGAAAUGAAGCGCAAGACAUUUUCCACGCAUGACAACCGAUAAACCUUCCAAACGCUGGAAGAGUGGGGACUUGCCAGAACCAGCUGAGUGUUUGUGGGACAUCAUCCCAUUGCCAGUCUCAUGAUGUCCUCAGCUAGACCCUGAGGAAUUGUGGGACGGAUUGUUCCAGGUGGAGGACUGGCUCGGAGGUGCCCAGUAGCAGGUGCGCACUUAUCCAGAUGAGUGACUGCGUAAUAGGGAACACCUGUAAUGCAUUUUUGGUCAGCCGUCACCGAGGGAGUAUGGAGGAAGCGGACUGGCAGAACAGAACAGUACUCUCUGUGGACUUUGUCUGAUGACGAGCUUCAUUCCUGCAAAUCAUUCUAGAGUUUCUACCCUGUCGUGUGGAGACCAGGUGGGCAAAACAAGAUGUCUAUGAUAAAUAAAAUAAAAGAACAAUCAAAGUCAGUUGGAAAUGCCUCCAAAGAUCGCUCCAUCAGUGGAAAAUCCAUUGCAUAACAAGACCUGGACCAGUUAAUUGAUUCCCCGGCCAUGCAGUGGGACGGACCAUGCCUAGGCACGCUUCACACCGCUCAGGUCAGAGCCUGGACAGCAUUUCUUCUGGUUGGGUGAGAGGCCUCUCUGCCGUUGUCAUGGCAGCAACAUCAACAGGAAAUGGUGGACCACAGGCGGUGCUGUGCAUUCUCCCCGUGCUGUUUGUUCCAUGUCUGUCAGCCGUGAAUAAGGCAUAAAUAAGAGAUGGCAGUGGCAGUCAACAACAAGGUGCAAGGGGAGCUGGAGGGGACCUUGACACUGAGAUGGUGGACCAGCAGGAGCAAGCAGGAACUUCAAGGGCUGGAGAGGGUGAGGAGCAUAGCAUGGUGGAGGCCUGCAGCCUGUACUCACUGCAGCACAGCAGACCAAUCUGUGCGAUGGCUCUAGUUCUUUUAAACCAGGGCAUCAGCAACAAUUAAACUUUUUGGAAGCUAGCCCAUAUAUUGCCUGUAAUAUUAUCUGUAUAUGCCUGUAUAUUAUCACCUUGAUGGUAAUAAUAUUGUGUAUGUACAAUGUUGUAAUGUUGGAACAGGAUGCAGAUGUCAAUCAGUUACCUAGUGAAACAA